GCCGGGAUGGCGGAAUUGGCAGACGCAGCGGACUUAAAAUCCGCUGGAGGUUAACUCCGUGCCGGUUCAAGUCCGGCUCUCGGCA
rnacentral:tRNA from 2 species